UACGUAGGGACCGAGCGUUGUCCGGAAUCAUUGGGCGUAAAGAGCGUGUAGGCGGCCACUUAAGUCCUGCGUGAAAUCUUGCGGCUCAACCGCAAGCGGUCGUGGGAAACUGGGUGGCUAGAGUGCGGGAGAGGAGAGUGGAAUUCCUGGUGUAGCGGUGGAAUGCGCAGAUAUCAGGAAGAACACCCGUGGCGAACGCGGCUCUCUGGAACGCAACUGACGCUGAGACGCGAAAGCGUGGGGAGCAAACAGG
rnacentral:rRNA from 1 species